rnacentral:lncRNA from 1 species
AAAUUCAAACUUGGAGCUAUGAGUAGUUAAAACUUCUUGAAUAUAUUGGAUACAUGGGUUUUCCACCACGUGUGUGGUCAAAUCCACCAUGUUUAUGGAUUUGAUUCAAUUUUUCUUAGAUAUCAGUGAAUAAAGUGAUCCUGGCAUGCUUCCACUAUACUUUUAUGUGAAAAAGCUCCAUAAAUUACAAAAAUCAUACUAUUGGCUAUCUUUUGUCCCCAGAGAAAAAAGGUAAACAAAAUGGACUGGAAAAAAUGGCCCCAUAUAAAAGGGAGCCAAGCCAUGGAACGACAUUAUUGUUCUAAGCCUCUAUGGUUUGGAGUAGUUUAUUAUGCAAUAGUAGAUAACUAAUACAAACUUCAUUUUACAUAUAAAAACAUUU